rnacentral:tRNA from 1 species
GAGGUUAUAGCUCAGGGGGAGAGUGUGUGCUUAGCAUGCAUGAGGUCCUGGGUUCAAUCCCAAGUACCUCCA